rnacentral:tRNA from 1 species
CGCGUAGCUAGCUUAGUGGUUAGAGCGCCUGGUCGGUUUGCUUGAGGCGCGGGUUCGAGUCCCGCUACGUUA